CAGUCAUGCUAGUGAGGAAUCAACUUGGUGGUGUGUGGGUUCGCUCGCACUCUUUCCGGUGCACUUCCUUACUUGGCAGGUUAGCAUCAAUUUCGGUUAUCAUAAAAAAUUUGAGGGAAUGUGACUUUUCUUCGGAAAAGUGUUAUAGACCUUGAUCUAUGUGGUGACCGGGAUUGAGGAUUGCAGCGGAUACCCUUGUGCUGGUUACCUUGCUUCU
rnacentral:rRNA from 1 species